GAUGAACGCUGGCGGCGUGCCUAAUACAUGCAAGUCGAGCGAACGGACGAGAAGCUUGCUUCUCUGAUGUUAGCGGCGGACGGGUGAGUAACACGUGGAUAACCUACCUAUAAGACUGGGAUAACUUCGGGAAACCGGAGCUAAUACCGGAUAAUAUUUUGAACCGCAUGGUUCAAAAGUGAAAGACGGUCUUGCUGUCACUUAUAGAUGGAUCCGCGCUGCAUUAGCUAGUUGGUAAGGUAACGGCUUACCAAGGCAACGAUGCAUAGCCUACCUGAGAGGGUGAUCGGCCACACUGGAACUGAGACACGGUCCAGACUCCUACGGGAGGCAGCAGUAGGGAAUCUUCCGCAAUGGGCGAAAGCCUGACGGAGCAACGCCGCGUGAGUGAUGAAGGUCUUCGGAUCGUAAAACUCUGUUAUUAGGGAAGAACAGAUGUGUAAGUAACUGUGCACAUCUUGACGGUACCUAAUCAGAAAGCCACGGCUAACUACGUG
rnacentral:rRNA from 1 species